rnacentral:tRNA from 1 species
UUAGCUCAGUUGGUAGAGCAUCGCAUUCGUAAUGAUGAGGUCGUCAGUUCGAUCCUGACACGCAGCACCA